UGCAAAAGGCGGCGGCGGGGCGGUGACCCGAGUUGGCUCAGGGCUGCAGGGGCCGCGGAAGGCGCCGGCCUGAGACCUCGGGCUGCUUCUGUUACCCUAGCGGGUUUCCGCGGGGGAUUGCUUCCAGGACCUCCGCGGAUACCAAAAUCUGCGGAUGCUCACUCGAGUCCCUUGUAUGCAGUGAGUUGGACUACAAAUUCCACCUCUGGCCAAACGUGUCUGGGCAAGUUGUCAACGUUUCUGCAUCGCCCCUUCCGUAUCUGGGCAGCGAGGACACCAGCACCAGCUUCACGGGCCUGCUGUGAGGAUGGAGUGACGGUCCACAGAGGAGCCUUGCCCAAGGUUUGGCACCUGUCAUGGCUGAUCGGACCAGCAGUGGCCAUGUGACCUGAGGACAGCCAGACUAUAGGUUGGCUUACCACCUAUCACUUGUGUGGCCUGGAUGGGCUUGGCCAAUCGGAUUCUCUCCUGGAAUUUGAACAAGACUCAGAGGGGAAUUCCCAGUUGGUAGUGGCAGUUGAACUUGAAUGCAAAGUGGAUUCCGGGUUGGAGCAGCCAUUUUGGACCCCUGAGUCAGAGAGGAAGCCAGGUAGUGGAGAGAGGAGGUCACGGCAGCCGUGUAAGGAAGAGUAGAGGUUCCACAGAGAAGUGACUUCCCAAAGUGGAACUUCACAAGAAGGACCAUAAAACCGGUGUGGAAAAGUAAAGGCUAAGAAGAUCACGGCAAUUUUGAAGGAGAAAAAUCAAGAGAGAACGUUUCCUUCUUUGACAUCAAGAUUCACUGUGAAGUUGCUCUGUCGCCACAGAAUCACAGACGGACGUGGAUGCCCAGCCAGGGACCGCAGUUCCAAGCCUCCCUUGCAAUUAAUUAGGUGUGGCCGUGACUGAGUUCUUUUCCAAGGGAAGGUAAACAGCUGUGAUGUGAAUGGGCAAUGCCGUGGCAGCUUCUGGACCAGUUCCUUGGAUUCCCAUCAGGCACAGCCCACACCGGACCUCCAGCAGGCCUUCCCAGAGAUAUGGAAAGUCAGUGAGGUCCCAGAGUCAGCCUCUGAUCCCUGGGCCAGAGGAAGGUCACUCAGUAGGAUCUAAAAGCCAGAUGGCUGACCACCGGCCUGUGGUCAAUGUUGUGGAAAUGGUAAGUUUGAAAAUGCAAAUGCUUUUGGAGCCGGCCUACAACCUAAGAAGAGAAAUAGCCCGUGUAUGGACUUUGGCAAAAGGUGGAUCCAAGCUGGGUCUAAAGUGGGCAGCCCUUUAGGCCAAUAGUUAUCACGUGGGAACCCUGGCUUGCUGUGGCCAAUGUUCUGAAUUUUCCAAAAGCCAGAAACAAGGACUUCGAGUAAUACGAAAAUUUAAAAAAAACACCCAAAUCUUAUAUUUAAAUAUUGAAAACAAAUUUCCAAACAUUUAAAUCACUUUGCUGGUCAAACAACAUACAUCUGCAGGCUGGAGUGUAGCAGUGGACACUGGUUUUCAAUCCCUGACAUGUUGGUGAAAAGUGAACGCUCGGAAUCAAUGUCCAGGCGCCAUCACCUACCAGCUGCAUGACCUUGGCACGUAUUUUAACUUCCGAGGCUCCACUUAUAAGGACAGUACGUAGAGCACGGUGUACUCACAAUGUAAAGAGCCUGGUGCACAGUAUGUAACCAAUAAAUGCUAUAACGGUUGCUGUCAUUGUCAUUGUUAGCUUCUUCUUUAUCAUCACCAUCACUGUGAUAUGGUGAUUUAUAAUACGAUAUAUAUAUAUAUAUAUAUAUAUAUUUGGUUACGUUUCUGUGUUACUGUUUCUGUUCUGUUACUGUGUCCCUGUUUCUGGCCAAAGAGCUCCUAAAACUCUUGGAAUUUCCUAAGCUAUGACAGCAAGAAAGGUGUCUUGAGUUAUGUUAACGAGGUGACUUUUGGGGGUUGAUGAUUAGUUGAGCCAACCUUGCGAGUAGAGGCUUUGAACUUUCAGGCCCAUCCUCAGACUCCAGGGAAGGGAGGGGAGGGGCUGGAGAUUGAGUUCAACCACCAACGGUCAGCGAUUGAAUCAAUCAUGCCUAUGUAAUGAAGUCAUCAUAAAACCCAAAAGGACUGGGUUUGGAGACUUUCUGGGUUGGUGAACACAUGGAGAUUCAGGGAGAGUGGAGCUCUUGGAGAGGAAUGGAAGGUCUGCACCCCUUCUCACAUACUCUGCCCUGUGCCUCUCUUCCCCCUGGCUGUUCCUGAAUUCAAUGCUUCUAUAACUCACUGGUGAUCUAGUAAGGAAAAUGUUUCUCUGAGUUCUGUGAGCCACUCUGGCAAAUUGAUCAAACCCAGGGAGGGGGCUGUUGGAACCUCUGGAUGUAUAUAGUCAGUCACAGUGGUAAGUCAGAAGCCCAGGUGACAACAUGGACUCCAGAUUGGUCUCCAAAGUGGUAUAUAUAUGCACAAUGGAAUACUACUCAGCCAUAAAAAAAAUGAAAGAGUGACAUUUGCAGCAACAUGGCUGGACUUCGGGAGUAUCAUACCAAGUGAAGUCAGUCAGACAGAGAAAGACAAAUAUCAUAUGAUA